rnacentral:rRNA from 1 species
UACGUAGGGGGCAAGCGUUGUCCGGAAUUAUUGGGCGUAAAGAGCGUGUAGGCGGUCCGGUAAGUCGGCUGUGAAAGCCCAGGGCUCAACCCUGGGAUGCCGGUCGAUACUGCCGGACUAGAGUUCGGAAGAGGCGAGUGGAAUUCCCGGUGUAGCGGUGGAAUGCGUAGAGAUCGGGAAGAACAUCAGUGGCGAAGGCGGCCUGCUGGGCUGUUGCUGAGCGCUGAGGCGCGGACAAGCG